rnacentral:rRNA from 1 species
AUUGAACGCUGGCGGCAGGCCUAACACAUGCAAGUCGAACGAGUGGCGGACGGGUGAGUAAUGUCUGGGAAACUGCCUGACGGAGGGGGCUAACUACUGGAAACGGUAGCUAAUACCGCAUACCAUCAGAUGUGCCCAGAUGGGAUUAGCUUGUUGGUGGGGUAACGACUCAACAAGUCGACGAUUCCUAGCUGGUCUGAGAGGAUGACCAUCCACACUGAACAUAAUACACGGACCAGACUCCUACGCGAGGCAGCAGUGGGAAAUAUUGCACAAUGGGCGCAAUCCUGAUGCAGCCAAGCCGCGUGUAUGAAGAAAGCCUUCGGAUUGUAAAGUACUUUCAGCGGGGAGGCGUUACCCGCAGAAGAAGCACCGGCUAACUCCGUGCCAGCCGCCGCGGUAAUAC